CCAAUUAGAUCAUCAACCCAUAAGAUUAUUAAACAAUAAGAUCAUCUACCAAUAAGAUCAUCAACUACUAAGAUCAUCAGCCACAUGUUCUCUGCGUUGAAACCA